rnacentral:rRNA from 1 species
UACGAAGGGGGCUAGCGUUGCUCGGAAUUACUGGGCGUAAAGCGCACGUAGGCGGCUUUCUAAGUCGGGGGUGAAAUCCUGGAGCUCAACUCCAGAACUGCCUUCGAUACUGGAGAGCUUGAGUCCGGGAGAGGUGAGUGGAACUGCGAGUGUAGAGGUGAAAUUCGUAGAUAUUCGCAAGAACACCAGUGGCGAAGGCGGCUCACUGGCCCGGUGCUGACGCUGAGGUGCGAAAGCGUGGGGAGCAAACAGG